GAUGAACGCUAGCGGCAGGCUUAACACAUGCAAGUCGCGGGGCAGCGGGGGAUGUAGCAAUACAUUCUGCCGGCGACCGGCGCAAGGGUGCGUAACGCGUGAGCAACAUGCCCGUCUCAGGGGGAUAACCGGUGGAAACGCCGCCUAAUACCCCAUGGCGAUAUAUUGAGGCAUCUUGAUAUAUCUAAAGCUCCGGCGGAGACGGAUUGGCUCGCGUGACAUUAGCUGGACGGCGGGGUAACGGCCCACCGUGGCAACGAUGUCUAGGGGUUCUGAGAGGAAGGUCCCCCACACUGGAACUGAGACACGGUCCAG
rnacentral:rRNA from 1 species